CGGGGUGUGGCUCAGCUUGGUAGAGUGCUUGGUUCGGGACCAAGAGGCCGCGAGUUCGAAUCUCGCCACUCCGACCA
rnacentral:tRNA from 1 species